AGGCCUUCUCUGCUUUUCGUAGGCCAUGCUGGUGAGGGAGCUGCGGGCGUGCAAGGAGCUGGCAGGGGACACAGAUCCUGACCCCAAAGGAGACUCCAUGUUGCAUGGCAUCAUGCUCAGUAUAUAAAGUGGGGGAAGAAGAAGGAAGAGGGGGACACUUGGAGUGCUGGCUUGGCCUCCUCAAGCCCCUGUUACCAUGAGGGGGCCCUGCUCUCCUGGAGAUGGCUGCACACCUGCCUGCCCACAGGGAGAAGUGGAUUCGCUCCUUGUUUGGCUUUGCUUGUGUGCAAAGCUUUUGCUUUUCCUGUUAAACUGUCUGUAUUUCAACCCCAUGAGUUUUCCGGCCUUUCCCCUUCUGAUUCUCUCCCUGAUCCCAUGGGAGAGAGAGUGAGUGGCUGCCUGGAGCUCGGUGGCUGCCUGGGGUGACACUGUGACACAUGACAAAGUGUUCCUUUGGAACAGGAAGGCCACUGCUGCCAGCUCUGAGGGAGGCAGACAUUGGUGCCUGAGGAUUUAUUAGAAUUUCCCCCAGAUGAUCUUGCCUCCAGAUACUGGUUUCUUUCAACAUGAAUUUGUGGUCCCUUGCUGAAUGGGAAGCAGACGGAUUCAGAGAUGACCUCUGUCUCAGAAAGUGAUGGUUACUGGAAUUUGGGAAGAUGUGCAAAGGGGACUCAACACCUUCCUUGUGAACUUUAUGUUAAGGAAGAGGCGGGAUUUUCACGGCAGCAAACAGCUCAGUGUGGAGCCAGAGAGAGAGAGAUGCCCCGACAGUGCCAGCGCCGCUUUUCCCUGCGUUAAGGUACAGCCAGCGCCAACAGGGAAGGCUCCGACAGGGGCGGGCUGUUACGUAAGGGGAAAAUCUGCAUUCCUUGCGUAACUCGGCUCUUUACAUAACCCGGCUCUUCACGGCCCCGAGUGGGGAGAGCAGAGGAACGGAGAGCAGCGGAACGGAGAGGAGAGGAGCGCCCGGCACUGCCCGCCCCGCCAGAGGAAACGCGCUGCCUCUGCCCAAAGGAACAGAAACAAGAUGGGAAAUGUCACAGACUGCAGAUUCCCAUAGCUGAUAGUCUAGGUGGGCUUGAUGGAAAGAAGACAGGAGGUUUUGAAGUAGUUUUUUCACGUAGAAUCGUGGAAGCAUCAAGUUUGGAAGAGACCUUCAGGAUCGCCCGGUCACUGCGCCUGUAAAGCCGCAUCACCCAGAUCCAGACCUUGAACACCUCCAGGAUGGUGAUUCCACCACCUCCCCGGGCACCCCAUUCCAACAUCUGACCAUUCAAAAGUGAAAACAUAAAACACAGGCCUGGCCACAGCGAUUUUUACACAGGAAGAUUGGAUAGAAAUAAUAAAACAACUCCCACUCCCAGUGCAAGUUUAAGUUUCUACGGGAGAAUAAGAAAAUUCUCUAUUGGAUUUCUUGCCAACUCUGCCUGCUCAGCACUAGGAAAGGAACACAGAGAAAAUUUAUUUGGGCUGUAAAUGGUCACUAGGAAUCCCCAUGUACAAAUGAACUCCCAGGUUGGAGGUUGCAGAGUUUCACUGACAGUUGUGAGAGACUUGGAAAUACAUUUGUAAAACAAGGAGAAGAUGGGGGAUAACCUGGGGACAGGGAAAGCUGUAGCUCAGCAACACCUAGCCUGGAAUUUAUGUAAGGAUACAAAUUCAACAUCGAGCCCAGGGUUCAUUUAAGGAUAUGUGACCUCUGUGUAAAGUCAUGUCUAAACCGUAUCUUGCAUUUCCCAGUUCCUGGGCAGUUAUGUGCUCCAUCUGCAUCCCACAGAUACCUGUUAUUUGGGAAGGAAACUUCUGAUGAGAGGUCCAAAGAACCCAGACGCAAAUCUGUAUCACAAAUGAUUAUAGAAAACUUAAAGGCCAAUAAUAAUACAAAUGCACAACUGAGUAGCACUUAACUAUUUGCAUUUCCCCACAAACCUAACAUGUAAACUAAUUCUAAACAUACUGGUUAGAUUUCAGUACUGAUUUUUUCAGAAAUCACCUAAUUCAGAAUAUUUUUAUUUUAGGGUUCUCCAAAAUAGAAGACAAAGUUCUCCUCUGUGAGCUGGAAUUACACUGUUUUAUUAUUUAUCGUGCACUGGCAGUGUCUAAUUUAUUAGAUCGUUGCUUGCUGAAUAUUUUAUUUUACGUGCAUUCCGAGCAAAUAAAAUUCCUCUUAAAACAAAGUUGAGUAAAAGGGCAUUGUACAUCAGAGUUGUGCUUAAAAACUGUUUCUACUGCAUUGCAUAUAACAGAUUUGAAAUGUAAUUUUCAGAAAAUUCUGUUUUAUAAAUCAGAUUUAAGGUCACACAGCUACACAUACCGGUUUGUCUGAUGAAUUCAAACCUCUCCUCCUUUGAACAGUUCCACAAUUUCAGAUAAAUUAUGUAUGAAGUCAGAGAAAGGCACUCUUCCAUCUGAGGUAACUACUUGCAAAGUCCAAGCUAAGUAGGUUUGAGACAAACUGGUUUUAAACCAGCAUUUGACAUGGCUGUUGUGCCAAAGGCAGUUAGCAGAUGCCAGCAAAGAAUUCGCCAAGUGGCUGGAAAGAAAUCUUUCCAAAUAUCUACAUGAUGACUUACAAUUCCAAACACACCAAUGAGUCUCAUCUUGCUUGUAAACCUUUCUUGUGCAACAAAGUAUUACAGAAUAUUCUAUUUAUAAACUCAUGAAAAACUUCUUUCAUCUUGUUUCAGACUCCAGUUAUUAGGACUGUACAGGUACUUUCCCAGUUUACUUUUAAAGCAGGGGCUGAAGUCACAUCCUUUUGCAGUUUCUGUGGUUCUCACUUCCAUUUCUGGUUUUAAACAAACGGGUUUAUAUUUGCAUACUCCAUGUAUUUAAUCUUAUAAUAAUAUAUGCUACAGGACAGUUACACUCACAGGUAUCCUUUCAGAAGGGAGAAUGUCACUUGGCUGAAAAGCCCCUAGGAACUGGAUUCCACACCUAGAACUCUCUAAUGUCAGUACAAAUAAUUUAAAAAACAUUUUGCAUUUUAUAUAAGCCUAGUAGUAUCUUGUACGUACACAUUCCUACUAUUCAAGAUGGAAAAGCUUGGAAAAGCUUUUGGAAAAGUUUAUGGAAAAGCUUGGUCUAAUCAAAUUUUCUCUUUUUAGUUCUCAUCUCACAUCCCGCUUUCUGGAAUGGCCUUGAACAACCUCCAAAACAUAGGAAAUUUGUUGUUUUUAUUUAGAGUAGGAGCCAAACUUCUAGAUUUAGAAAUUCCUCCUUAACUCAAUAGUGAGAAAGGCCACAUCAUCUGUACCAAGUGUUCUUAGCUGCUCUAAUUCAAUUACAGGACUGAAUACUCAUAUGCCCAAUUCAUUUCUGCAGGCUUUUUGAAAACCAGUGGAUAAGAAAUAUGAUGCUUUUUGAUUUGUAGACUUUAUAAAACUGACAGAUAUGAUUGGCUUUGUAUCACUCAUUCAGUGGAGCAAGUUUCUCCCUUUUUGAAUUUUUACAAUUUUCUAUAUUAUUUUAUUUAAAAAAGGAAUCAUUCUUCCUUUACAGUGAAGAGUAUUUGAUAACACGAUUCAACUGCAUUUCACAUUUGGCACAAACCUCCCCUCUGGCUUUUGGAGAUAACUUCACUUAACUGUAAGGGUUUUUUUCUGUUGGAAUAUCAGAAAGUCUUCAGUAAGUAAAGGCAUGUGUGCCAAGCACAUCAUUAACUGAACUGAUUGAAGAUCAGAAAAGUAAGUACUAGGUCUAAUAUGGCUUGGGUGCCACUAAUGGGUACAUUAUAGAUUGAAAUAUUUCAUUUGAUCCAUUAGUUGUUUUGUUGCUGUCAAUACCACAGGCAGUUGUAUGAAUCUAUUUACAAAACGAAUUCAACCUCCAUUAGCUUUUAAGGCACUGCUCAAAUGAAAGCAGUCUCUUACAACAGCUGAAACAAUUACAAGUGAAAAUGAGAGACCAUUUUGAUGAAUAUGCAUUCCAGCAGUAAUCAUCUCCCAGACAAGAUUUGUCUGUUUCUAAAAAUAAUUGUUAAUAAUACAGAUGUAUAUUUAGGGGAAGUUUAUUAUUUUGUUCCAUUCCUCUGUAAAUGUUGACAUUUAAAAAUUUAACUGCAUUUCCUCUUGUUAAAAUAGACUGCAAAAGAGAAAAUACCAUGUGCACUGGAAUAAUCAUGAGUGUAUUACCAUCACCAAAAGAGUAGUCUGUAAAGUAAGACUAAAAGCAAGUU
ensembl:lncRNA